rnacentral:rRNA from 1 species
GGUCGGUUCGGCCGGGUUUCACACAGGUGUUGCAUGGCUGUCGUCAGCUCGUGUCGUGAGAUGUUGGGUUAAGUCCCGCAACGAGCGUAACCCUCAUCCUUAGUUACCAUCAGGUAAUGCUGGGGACUUUAAGGAAACUGCCAGUGAUAAACUGGAGGAAGGUGGGGAUGAUGUCAAGUCAUCAUGGCCCUUAUGGAGUGGGCUACACACGUGCUACAAUGGUGUCUACAACGGGCUGCAAAGUCGCGAGGCUAAGCUAAUCCCUUAAAAGCCAUCUCAGUUCGGAUUGCACUCUGCAACUCGAGUGCAUGAAGUUGGAAUCGCUAGUAAUCGUGGAUCAGCAUGCCACGGUGAAUACGUUCUCGGGUCUUGUACACACUGCCCGUCACGCCAUGG